rnacentral:rRNA from 1 species
UACGGAGGGGGCUAGCGUUGUUCGGAAUUACUGGGCGUAAAGCGUACGUAGGCGGCUUUGUAAGUCAGAGGUGAAAUCCCGGGGCUCAACUCCGGAACUGCCUUUGAGACUGCAUCGCUUGAAUCCAGGAGAGGUGAGUGGAAUUCCGAGUGUAGAGGUGAAAUUCGUAGAUAUUCGGAAGAACACCAGUGGCGAAGGCGGCUCACUGGACUGGUAUUGACGCUGAGGUGCGAAAGCGUGGGGAGCAAACAGG